ACAGAAAAGAUUGCUUCGCAGUAAGUAAAUAUAACUUAUUGCUUUUUUUUAAUCUUUAUGG
rnacentral:pre_miRNA from 1 species